GGAAAGGAACAUCUGGUAGGCGGCCGAGGUAGCCCUCCCUGAUGGAUCACUUCUCCGCCCCCUGGGACAGUAUUACGGCAAACCUCAGUAGGAGCCCGGAGGUUCCCCCCCCCACCCCCCCAGAGCCCUGGAAACAGAAAGCAUCCCUGCUGUGGGAAGGCAGUGAGCAGGCCUGGAGAGCCUCUCUAGCUGGAGAGACCUCAAAGUCUUUACGAAACGUCUUUCUCUCUUAUUUUAUUUUAUGUUAUUUUAUUAAAAAAAGUAAAGUAUUUAUCUAUUUGGAGAGAGAGAGAGAGCGCACAAGCGGCUGAGGGGGGGAGAGAAGGAGAGACAGAAUCCCAAGCAGGCUCCACGCCAUCAAUGCAGAGCCCGAUGCGGGGCUCGAACUCGUAAACUCGCGACCUGAGCCGAGAUCAGGAGUCAGAGGCGUAAUUGACUGCGCCGCCCAGGUGCCCCGAAACUUCUUACUCUUUUGAACUCUGUCCAGGGAGUGGGGAAAGGCGUUUUUGUCUCUUAUCUGACCCCAUUGUCACCCUGAUGCUCGGGACUGAGGACAAUCUCUAAGGUCUACAGACAGAUGGACAUACGAUUGUUUAUUCAUUCAACAAACAUUCGGUCAAGGGCCCGCUGAAUGCCAGGCAUUGUGCUGCCUAAAUUCCAGCCACGCCAGUCGCCCAAAGGCAACCACGGGUGGUCACACCUCCCCGACGGAACAUCGCGGCCCCCUUCGGGCAGGGACCGCCCCC